rnacentral:rRNA from 1 species
AGCAGUCGCCGCGGUAAUACGGAGGGUGCAAGCGUUAAUCGGAAUUACUGGGCGUAAAGCGCACGCAGGCGGUCUGUCAAGUCGGAUGUGAAAUCCCCGGGCUCAACCUGGGAACUGCAUUCGAAACUGGCAGGCUAGAGUCUUGUAGAUGGGGGUAGAAUUCCAGGUGUAGCGGUGAAAUGCGUAGAGAUCUGGAGGAAUACCGGUGGCGAAGGCGGCCCCCUGGACAAAGACUGACGCUCAGGUGCGAAAGCGUGGGGAGCAAACAGGAUUAGAUACACCUGUAGUCCCUGUCUCUUAUAC